GGUGGAAUGGCUGAGUGUUAGGCGGCGGCCUGUAGUUCCGUUUGACAGAGGUUCAAUUCCUCUUUCCACCA
rnacentral:tRNA from 1 species